UACAGAGGGGGGCGAGCGUUGUUCGGAAUUACUGGGCGUAAAGGGCGCGUAGGCGGCCUUCUAAGUCGAACGUGAAAUCCCCGGGCUCAACCCGGGAACUGCGUCCGAUACUGGGAGGCUUGAAUCCGGGAGAGGGAUGUGGAAUUCCAGGUGUAGCGGUGAAAUGCGCAGAUAUCAGGAGGAACACCGGUGGCGAAGGCGGAUCUCUGGGCCAUUACUGACGCUGAGGAGCGAAAGCGUGGGGAGCGAACAGG
rnacentral:rRNA from 1 species